GAUUUAGUCACCUAUGAUGGCGUGCAUGUGAACUUAACUCAGGAAGAGUGGGCUUUACUGGAUCCUUCUCAGAAGAAUCUCUACAAAGAUGUGAUGCUAGAGACCUAUAGGAAUCUCUCAGCUAUAGGUUACAUUUGGGAAGGACAUACAAGUGAAGACUAUUUUCAAACUUCUAGAAGUCAUGGAAGGCAUGAAAGAAGUUGUACUGCAGUGCAACCCUCUGAGUUUAUUCAAUGUGGUAAAGCCUUUGCAUAUCAGAGUCUUAGACAAAGGCAUGAAAGAACACAUAAUGGAGAGAAAGACUAUUACUGUAACCAAUGUGGUAAAAACUUUAUAAUAAGCAGUCAUCUCCAAAUACAUAAACGAAGAAAUACAGGAGAGAAACCCUAUGGUUGUAACCAAUGUGGUAAAACCUUUGCUGUAAGGAGUGACCUCCAAAUACAUAAGCGAACACAUACAGGAGAGAAACCCUAUGAUUGUAAACAGUGUGGUAAAGCUUUUAUAAGAAGGGGAGACCUCCAAAUUCAUAAGCGAAUACAUACAGGAGAGAAACCCUAUGAAUGUAACCACUAUGGUAAAGCCUUUGUAAUAAGCAGUCAUCUCCAAAUACAUAAGCGAAUACAUACAGGAGAGAAACCCUAUGAAUGUAAACAAUGUGGUAAAGCGUUUACAAAAAGCAGUAAUCUCCAAAUACAUAAGCGAACACAUACAGGAGGGAAACCCUAUGAAUGUAACCAAUGUGGUAAAGCUUUUAUACAUAGUGGUAACCUCAAAAGACAUGAAAGAACACAUACAGGAGAGAAACUCUAUGAAGGCAUCUAA
rnacentral:lncRNA from 1 species